rnacentral:tRNA from 1 species
AGUUAAUAAGCUUAAAGCAUUUGUUUUGAAAACAAAAUAUAGAAUAAAUAUUAAUUCUAUUAACUU